CAGUAUAUAUUCAAGUUUGUGUAUAUAUUAGAAUCUACAGAAACUACAUAUAUUAUAAAGUGAAGAUGAAAACAUUCUAAAAUAGGAAGAAAAAUAAAAAUGGCCAGAUAUUUAUGAACAUUUAACUUCAGAGUAUGAUAGGAAUAAAUAAGAUAACAGGCAUGUGUUAUUGUGUUCAGUUUUCAGAAUAAAAUAUUGAAGUAUGUUAUAGACAUAAUGAUGGUAGAGAUAUCUCUUCAGCAUCCUGAAAUUCACACUAUGAAGAAACUUCAGCAUACUGAUAUCUGAAGACAAAGUCAGCCGAUUUAUAAAUCUAUGAUACCUUGACAUGACAGAAAUACUCUUUAUCAUUUAAUAUGUAGCUGAAAUGGAGUCUUGAAAGAAAUAGCAUUUUUUUUUGGGGGGGGGACAGAUUUUCACUCUUGUCUCCCAGGCUGGAGUGCAAUGACAUAAUCUUGGCUCACUGCAACCUCCACCUCCCAGGUUCAAGUGAUUCUCCUGCCUCAGCCUCCUGAGUAGCUGGGAUUAUAGGCGUAUGCCACCAUGCCCGGCUAAUUUUUUGUACUUUUAGUGGAGACAGGGUUUCACCACGUGUCAGGCUGGUGUUGAACUCCUGACCUCAGGUUAUCCACCCGCCUCGGCCUCCCAAAGUGCUGGGAUUACAGGCAUGAGCCACCGUGCCCAGCCGCAUUUUUUUAAUCUCUAAGGUUGCUUUCAAUGAAAGUGUAUAGAUUUAGAAACUAUUUUUUCCUUUAUUAUUUAAAAGACAUUAUAUAUACAUUAUAUAAUAUAUGCAUUAUAUAUAUUUGUCCCCUAUUAUGCAAGCAAUAUUUAUGAAUUUAUUAUUUGUCUCAUUGUAGGAGGGUAAAAAAAUGUAAACAGAACAUUUCAUUAGAAAAUAAUCUUAAGUUGAAAGGAAUAACAAAGUAUACAGAAAACAAAUGAAGAAGAAGUUGAUUCUUUUAGUCCCAGAAACAUCAUCAUGGCUUAGGUCUUCAGAAUAUUACAUAUUCUUCACCUUGUCUCUUGGUUUCCUUCUCCUCUAUAUUAUCUGUUUUGCUGCAGUAAGCUGGGUUGUUCAUGUCAGUUGGCACUAGUAUAACAACAAAUAAAAAGAAUCAGACAAAAAUUUCAACAGAUUAUGUUUUAGAACUAAAACAUAAGAUCUAUGGUAAAAUAUUUCAGUGAUACAUAGGACAAACUAAAGCUGAAAGAAUGUGUAUUCUAGUUUAAAUAGAAUUGCCCUGUUACAUGCUGAGGUAAUACAAGACUGUGAAGAUGAAAGUGUACUGUGUACUCUCAGUGGAAAAUCUGAUGUGCUCUGCAUUACUCAAUUGUGUCAACAUAGAAUCUUGACAAAAGAAAGUUUUAACACAAGUAAAGAAAAUGAUAACAUACUAAACACAAUGGAUAGAUUGAAAACAAAUUGCUUUGGCAGCUUUUCAUAUAAUUUCAGAGUUUAUUUUGACACUUCAUAAGUGUACAAUAUACCUUACAAUAGAGUUACAAAUAACCAUUUUCUUUGAUUUUUGCCUCUUGUAUUAAAGAAUUUAAAACCAAAAUAAAAAUAAAUCAUGUCAGAAAAGAGAGACUACAGUGUCAAGACUCCAGAGUAUUCAACAUGCCAAGGGCACUAAGAGAUGAAUCAAGAGGAAAAGAAUAAAAGUGCCAAAAAUAUAAUAAAAUCUUAGAAUUUAGGGAAUCUUUAAAGACUACUAAUUUCCUGUCUUCAGGAGCAUUAAGCUAAAUGUUGCCAAAAUGUAAAUUUUUCUAGUCCAAUUUGUGCUAUCAGAAAACAAGUCCUUAUUUUUAUGUCUGCAUUCAUUACUUAAAUCAAUAAAUAUGCAUUGAAUGCCUGCUUUGCGCUUAUGCUAGGCAUUAGGGUAAAUAAUACAUAAGAUCGGCUGGGCAUGGUGGCUAAUGCCUGUAAUCCCAGCACUUUGGGAGGCCGAGACGGGCAGAUCACGAAGUCAGAAGAUCGAGACCAUCCUGGAUAACACUGUUAAACCGCAUCUCUACUAAAAAUACAAAAAAAAAAAAAAAAAAAAAAAAAAAAAUAUUAGCGGGCGUGGGGAGGCUGAGGCAGGAGAAUGGCGUGAAACCGGGAGGCGGAGUUUGCAGUGAGCCAAGAUUGCGCCACUGCACUCCAGCCUGGGCGACAGAGCGAGACUCUGUUUCGGGAAAAAAAAAAUAAUAAGAUCAUAAAUAAUAAAUAAUAAAUACAAAUAUAAUUGUGAUAAUUCUUAUGAAGAAUAGAUAUGGGGUAUAGAGACAGUAUAUAAUGGGAAAAGUUGACUUUCAUGCUGUGUAAGAGAAAUCUCCCCCAGCAAAGUGCCUUUUGAGUUGAGAUUGAAGGAUAAAUAAAAACCAACCAAGCAAACAGUGAGAGAAGAAUGUUUCCUGCAGAAGGAACAGCAUGUGCAGUCUGUAGCUGAAGGAAAUAGAGCAUGUGUUAUGGGUUGAAUUUUAUCCCCCCAAAAGAUAUGUUGAAGUUCUAACUGCAAGUACGUCAGAAUGUGCUCUUAUUUGGAAAUAGGGCAUCAGUGCAGGUGUAAUUAGUUGUUAGGAUGAGGUCAUACUGGAAUAGGAUGGACCCUUAAUCCAAACUGACUGGUGUCAUAAGAAGAGGAGAAGAGAUGCAGGAGCAGAGACACAUGAAGAAAGAAUGUCAUGUUAUGGUGGUGUUAGAGAGUGAAAUGCUAAAGCUGAAAACCAAGUAACAUCAAUGAUUGCCAACAAACAUCAGACUCUAGAAAGGCAAUUCUUCCCUACAAGUUUCAGAGGGAGCGUGGCUCUGCUGAUACCUUGAUUUCAGACCUCUAGCCUCCAGAACCAGAGGAUCAUAAAUUUCUGUUUUAAGCCUCCCAGGUUUUGGCACUUUGUUGUGGCUUCCCUGAAAAACUAAUAAAGCAUGUGUGAGAAAAUGAACAAAAACUAAUGUGGCUGGAGAUGGAUAAAAAGGAGCAGGGGCAGUAGAGGGAGACAGGUAAUAAAGGCAGGCACAGCCAGAUCGUGUCUCAAUAUGAACAUUGCAUUGGUUUUCAAGAUCAAUAAGAAAUCAUUGAAUGUUUUAAACAAGUAGUUGAGUUGAUGACAUUUGUGUUUUGAAAUGACUUAUUUAGAUUGGAAUAAAGGCAAAAAUAAAUGUUGAGAGAUCGCUUAGAUGGUUAUUACUCUAGUCCCACUACGAGGUGAUGAAAAAGGGGCCUUGAGACAUUGCAGUGUAGAUGGGGAGUUUGGAUGAUUUAAAGUAUUUUACAAGAUAAAUGUGAUGGACUGGAUGAAGAAUAACAGGAAAGAGGUUGUGUCAAGGCUAACUGUGCCAGGUUCUGCAUUGUGCUUCUGGAUGGAUGGUGGUAUCACUCACAAAGGGAAGAAUAGAAGGGGACUAAGUUUGGAAGAGAAUAUAUUGAUUUAAUCAUGUUUAAUUUUAUGUAUCUGUGAAACAUUGAAGUAGAGAUGGCAGCAGUUAGAGAGAAGGAUCUGGAGCUUCAAGAAUGGCAUGCUUCCAAGUUUGUCUGAGACUGUCCUGAUUUACAACUUUUCUGCUGGCCUAAUUAUUAAUAGCAUCUACUUUCACUCUCAAUAAUGCUUUGGGUUUGUUUGGACAAUAAGUUAAUGGUUAAUCUGGUUAUACUUGACUAAUUUAUAUACUUAGAACUCUUUCCAAAUUCUCAUAUUUUCUACUUUGUAGGAGAAAUGUGUUUGUUCUUUACCCAGUUCUUAUUCCCUUCUUUCUCACCAGUAGUGCCUCAAUUUCCCUUUACAGAAUUAACAUUUCUUUGAUUUUCAUUUAUGUGAGUUAGCUCAAGGAUAGAUCUCCAUUGCUUUUACCAUAUCAUUAAGCCACAUUCAACUGCAUACACUGAUUAGAUUAGGGCAGGGUACAUGACACAUUUGGAGAUACUGAGAGGUUAGUGAAUUCCAGAACUUUGUAUGAGAGGAAAAAGAGACCCCAUUUCCCAGGAUAAUGAAGUGUUAGUACGUGAGGGCUGGAACUGUAGCAGCCAUUAUUGAUCACAGGGGAAUAAUAUCAAUCUUGUACUGAUGGUGGAUGAAAGGCAAUGUGUGGCUUGAGAAUUAAAGACACCAAUGAGGGGGAGAGUACAAAGUCAAAAAGAAGCUGGAUUUGUGGUGUCAUGGUUUUCGCCACUGGAGUAUAACUUUCUCGAAUCUAGACCUGGUACUGGAGUUUUAUUUAUGUGGAUUGAAAUAUGUCCUUUAUUGUGUAAGCCAGCUUGGAAUUAGCUUUGUCAAUUACAAAAUGUUAAGUCCCUAACCAGUAUUUUUUUUUGUAAUUGAUGGUAUUAAAUUUAUAUCUCCUGGUGUAGUGGUUGUAGGGCUAAGUGGGGAGUUUGUUAUUGGUUAAAAGAAGACAAAAUAUGUUAUUCUUUCUGCCAUUGUUUCAUAUAGUUGCAGAUUGAGGGUGGAGUCCUGUGAUUUUCAGGCUCUUCAUGUUAACAAUACUUGCAAAGAUGAAGAUGGAAUUCUCUGUCAUCCAUGCAGACAUACAGACACUCUAAAAGCUCAAGAGAUCAAUUAUUCAACUUCAAGAACUGAAAUUUGAACAUAGAUUUUGAGCUUCCAAAUCAGACUGCUGUUAAACUGGCUCACUCCAUAUACUCUGUGCCACAGCGAUUUAAUAUUUCAUUAAAAAGCAUUAAUGAUGGCUCCAGUGAAUUUCUCCUAUUCAAGCUCCAUAAUGACAGCAAUUCAAGUGACUGUCGAUCUCUGAGUGAUGCAACACAAAAACAUCGCCUAACAAAGGGACACUUGGAGUGCUACUCAUAUUCUCUGCAACUUGAGAUUUGUGAACAGUGAAAUGAUAUGAUGGAAAACGUGUUGUGGAACUUUUAGGAAGAUUAAUCUAUCAACAGUAAGCAAGAUGGAGAGUAAAGAGAAGUAUCUGAAACCUGGAGACCAGUGAUAAUUCCAUUGAAGUAAUUCAGUAUAUGCCUCUAAAGAAAUUAAAAAAAAAAGGCUUGUUUACUUUGGAAUGUGGAGUAAAGAGAGCAACAAGAGAUUGAAGUCAAAGAAUAGGAGAAACAGAAGUGUUCUAUAAGAAAUUUGGACAAGACUCUGCAAGAAGUUAAGAGCAAAAUUAUUUUGAGAUUCAUCUAUAUCAUGUAUAUUGGUGGUUCAUUCUUUCUUCAAUGGCUUAGAAUCCCCUUUGAUGAAGAGGAAGUUUACAUUUUGAAGUUGAGGCUUUCCAAGCAUUCAUUUCUCUAUGGGAUAUACACAGAAAUAAAAUUAUAAAAUGUCCUUAAAGGCAACUGUGAAUUAACGGAGACUGGUAUUGAGAAAAUCAGUCCUGAUUUGUUUCUCCUGGAGUUUUCUUCUUUAUGUGAUCCUUCAUAAAAGCUGCUAAUAUGGGAAAGAUUGAAAUCAGCAAGUUUCUGGCUGUAAGCUAAAAGAGGCUCUUGAAUCAUAUUUCCGCCUACUUAGCAAAUUUCUCUUGCGACAAUUGGAUGUUAUUUGGGGUUCCAUACUAGCAGGAAGAAGUACAAGCAAAGCUAAGUCAUUUUGAGAAUAAAUAUUAUCUCUAUAUAUAUUUGUAACUGCUAUUUUCUUUCCUUUUUGAGGUUUAUGAUUGAUCCUUGGCAUGUGUCCCCUUGUGUAUUGCUCUACUGAAAACAGCCUAAAAAAGAAUUUCCCCUCGAUGUGGAACUUCUCUUUAGUUACAAUUCUACUUUCUCCUUCACUUGAGUAUCAGUCUUCAGAGAACUAGCAUAACAAAGGAGUGGAUACAGAUGUACACAAAAAAAGUCUAUGAGAAAAUUAGUACAUUAAAUUUGUGAAAGCUCAUUUAAAGUAAUUUUCUACUAAAAAUUUUAAUCAAAUGUAUUAAUCAUAUUUCUAUGCUUAGUGAUGUUAAAUAAAAAUUUAAAAGUUGGCAAUCAAUAAGCAGAGAUAAAAGCUUCUCAAGAAUAAAUGAAAGGAAGUAAUAAAAAGACUCACUAAGCUGCAGUGCCUCCUAUCAACAGCAGCUGAUAAAAUAUUAAAAGAAUUGCCUUGUGUAAUGUCUCUGGAGAGCUGUCUUACUGAUGUACUAGGCCAUGAUUGACAACUUUGAGACUUUGCUGGAAGCAACAAAAGUAUAUCUAUAAUAUUAUGCUGAAUUGCAUAGGUCUUUCUUCUUAAAUGGGGCUAGAAAUAACAUACCACCAAGUGUUUGGCUUUUAGGAAAUUGAGCAUUUUCUUUAGUUCUAGCUGCAGUUUAAUUUCCUCAGAAUUAGACAUUAUGCGGUAUCUGGAAUGUAAAAAAACAAAAGCAAAAACAGGGUAUUGUACCUAAUGAUAUGUCAAAUAAUUUUGGAGGAAUUAAGAAAUCACUGGAAGAAAUUACAUGGGUGAGUAAUGGUUUUUAUGUCACAAUAAAUAAUUAGUAAUAUUUACUGACACGUUUCCUGUGCCUGGUACUGAGCUAAAUGAUUUAUGUGCAUCGUUUGUAUUAAGCCCCCCAAAAUUCUGUGGUGUAUGUAAUGAUAUUUCCAUUUUUCUUGAGAUAAGGAACUGAAACUCAGAAAAGUUAAGGAACUUGUCCAAGAUUAUAGUAAGUGGCUUAGCUCAAUUUUGAAUCUAGAUCAAUCUGACUCCAACCAGCAUGAGGAACUGAAACUGACUAUGAGGCUGGUGACACUCUAGGCAUUUAUUCACAAGAGAUAUUGUGAUGACAUGUAAGAGAAUGUUGGAUGAAGGAAGCACGUACUAGAAAGAUUGGAAAGAGCAGAAAACACAGGGAAGUGCUAUUUAUUUGCUUUCCUAGUUCCAGUAAUUUGGUCUAAUGGGGAGGAUGAAAGUAGACAGAUGCCUGAAAACACUUUGAGAUUUAUGUAUAAGCAGCAUGACUUCAGUGACCAAGCCACACGGAGUCUGGGAGUGGAACAUUCUCUUUGGUCAUUAUGCCAUUGCGGCAUGGUCUGUCAGUGCAGUGAGAACCAAAGUAUAGUGUGGUAACCUGAAACUGUUAUGGCUAUGGGUACACCUGGGUAGGUAGCUGUUCACCCCUUCACAGAGGGUAGUAGCAAUGAUAGCAAAGUACCUCUUCCCAGUAACUUUCAGAACAUAGAUGCUAUGUAAGAUCUGAAGUUUGAAAACCUGAAACAAAAGCAGAGCAUUAUAUCCAAGCACAUUGGAGACAACUGUGGAGGAAUCAAGGAACACCUAGUGGAGAUUUAAUGUUUUGGGGACUGUUUUUUAUUUCAGAAGGUGAUAAGUAUAAAACAAUCAAACUCUAGGUAUAGGGAUGAACAUUAUUUUGUGUCAUAAAUUUGUCUAAUAUAGUUGCUGCUUCAACAUCCAGUUUUGGCUUGAUAUAGUCAAGGUGACCAGUCAUGCCUUGUCACCUUUGGUUUUAUUAAAAUUUUCCUUCCUCUAGUGGUUAUUUGUGAUAUAGCCCUGUUGUUCCCCAUCUCACUGACCCCAAAUUCAACACAUGCCACAGCUGCUGGCCACAGUGAAAACUGCUGGUCAACACCAGUCAUGUGAAUAAGAUGUCCCUUCAUGUGUUUUCUUUAAGCUAGCCUAUCCACAGCCCCAUGGGAAAGCCUAAAGAAUAGUACCUGUGGAUUAUAAUAAAGACAUAGUCUUACUGGUUCUUGCUCUCUAUCUGUCCCUGUACACACUGGUCAAGCACACUCUUGUCUCCAGACUUCCCAUUGGCCUCCUUUCAACACCUGUAACCACUCUGGACCUGGGAAUAAUAAACUUCUUUCUUUUUUUUUAAUGUA